rnacentral:SRP_RNA from 2 species
UUGCGGGCUAGCCCGGGUAACUCGACGUCACCUGUAACCCGAAACCGUCGAUAUGCGGGGGGCGAAGCCAGUGGAAGACGUGUCAAACGCUAUUUAAGAUCGGAUGCCCAACAAUGAAUCUCCGUCCUGCGGGGAUGGCGUUGAUAGUUAGGUCUGCCGGAGGGCAGGUUUGCUAAUCUUUGCUGCGGAAAACGGUUUAGGCCCGGAAGGGAGCGGACAAUACCGCAGACGAUCAUCGCUUGCAGGGUAGCGGGGAGGAGGCGAGUCUCCGAAUCACUGGAUAACGGGCGGAUGGCGACCACUGGCGUGCCCGCAU